CUACAGAACGACGCUGGCGGCGCGUUUUAAGCAUGCAAGUCGAGCGGCAAGGGCCUUCGGGCCCUAGAGCGGCGGACGGGUGAGUAACACGUGGACAAUCUGCCCCCCGGCCGGGUAGCCCAGGGAAACCUGGAUUAAUACCGGAUGAGACGGGACCUGCGAUGGCGGGAUCCGGGAAAGGCGCUACGGCGCCGCCGGGGGAUGAGUCUGCGUCCCAUUAGCUAGACGGCGGGGUAACGGCCCACCGUGGCGACGAUGGGUAGCCGGCCUGAGAGGGUGGACGGCCACAUUGGAACUGAGACACGGUCCAGACUCCUACGGGAGGCAGCAGCUAAGAAUCUUCCGCAAUGGGCGAAAGCCUGACGGAGCGUAACCGCCGCGUGAACGAAGAAGGCCGUGAGGUUGUAAAGUUCUUUUCGGGAGGGGGAACAACCGUGGCAGGGAAUGGCCGCGGGAUGACGUGAAUCCCGGAAUAAGCCCCGGCUAACUACGUGCCAGCCGCUGC
rnacentral:rRNA from 1 species